UGGUUGGCUGGUCAUAUUGCCAAGAACAGCUAGAUUGAUAUUAGCAUCCACCAAUUAAGAGGCAAAGCAGUCUUGGUUUUCCUCAACUUCUCCUCUAAAAUCCAAAUAUAUAUACAAGAAUACCCAAAUCCAAGAUAGCCAUUGACAUAAUGAGAAUGGAGAGGAGGAAUGAGUCAACAACAUUUUAGAGAAAUAAGGACGUGCAAGCUUUUUCUUGUACCCUUCUAGCUCUUCCUAAAUUUUGUUCAUCUAGGAGGAUCAAAUCAGUGAUAAGUAAUAAAUCGAUGUAAAUAAAUAGCAUCUUAACUGUUUGCACAUUCUAGUUUCGUAUUUAUAGCUUACUAUAUAUUAAGUAGCAAAACUUGUUCUAAAGUGAAUAGCAAAUGGUAACAUAUCAGAGUGCAGAGGAAAUAAAGCACCCCCUUAAGUGCCUCUAACAUGCUGUUAAGUUUUCAGCUGUCAAGUUGAUGCCAAAGAAAUAUAGUGUGGUAUGCAAAGGGUGCUUAGCAAUUUGCUGAGGAUUUUUAUUCUUUGGUUUCUGAGCUUUGAACUCUAAGUCAUCCGAAAUGUGCUGUGAUGUGCAAUGUUGCUGUGAUUUAGUAUCUGAAUAUAAGGCUUUAGAUUGACAUGUUAAUCUUUUGCUGCUACAUAUGCCAGGAAAUGUUGUUGUGAUUGCCACCCGCAGGAUUGUAAGGCCACCAAAGAAAGGUUCUGCUGCUCAAAGGCCACGCUCCCGCACAGUAACAUCUGUUAGAAAAUGCUAUGUUAGAGGACAUUGUGCAUCCUGCUGAGAUUCUUGGGAAAUGCAUCAGAUACGGAAUUGAUGGUUCCAAAGUAAUCAAGGUUUUAGAGGCCUCCUGGACCAAUUCCAUCUUCAAUGUUGGGUUUGGAGGCUGUUACUGGUGGCUUGGAUGAUUUUGGUUUUGAGGAUUAUCUGAAUGGUUGCCAAUUGAUGUUUAUAGCAAGAUGAAAGAACUAGAGACGGAGAUCCUUUCCAAUGAUUCAGGGAGCCAAAUGGCCAUUUUCUGAUCUCAUUAUUUCUAGGCACCUGCUCAUCUCCUUUUGAUUGCAACAUAACAGGCAAAACUGACUUCAUAGAGAUGUCUAGUUUAGUAUUUUUUGUUAAUACACUUUUCCAUGCCAUGUAAAAGGAAAAACAAAAGAGGAGAGAUUGCUAGGAUUCCUAGGUGGGUGUAAU